rnacentral:rRNA from 1 species
GAAUAUUGGACAAUUGGGGGAACCCUGAUCCGGCCAUGCCGCGUGUGUGAAGAAGGCCUUUUGGUUGUAAAGCACUUUAAGCGAGGAGGAGGAGCACUUGGUUAAUACCCAAGUUUCUUGGUCGUUACUCGUCACAUAAGCACCGGCUAACUCGUAGCCAGCAGCCGCGGUAAUACAGAGGGUGCAAGCGUUAAUCGGAUUUACUGGGCGUAAAGCGCGCGUAGGUGGCCAAUUAAGUCAAAUGUGAAAUCCCCGAGCUUAACUUGGGAAUUGCAUUCGAUACUGGUUGGCUAGAGUAUGGGAGAGGAUGGUAGAAUUCCAGGUGUAGCGGUGAAAUGCGUAGAGAUCUGGAGGAAUACCGAUGGCGAAGGCAGCCAUCUGGCCUAAUACUGACACUGAGGUGCGAAAGCAUGGGGAGCAAACA